GUAGAUUUAGUUAGGUUAGUAGUUUUAGUUAGGUUAGUAGAUUUAGUUUGGUUAGUAGUUUUAGUUAGGUUAGUAGAUUUAGUUAGGAGGAGAAGAGGAGAAGAGGAGGAGGAGGAGGACAAGAAUAGGAGAAGAAGAAGAGGAGUAUGAGGAGGAGGAGGAGGAGAAGAAAAAUAAGAAGAAGAGGAGAAUAAAAAAAAUAAGAAGGAGAAGAAGAAGAAGAAAAAGAAGAAGAGAAGAAAAAAAU
rnacentral:lncRNA from 1 species